rnacentral:rRNA from 1 species
GAUGAACGCUGGCGGCGUGCCUAAUACAUGCAAGUCGAGCGAACGGACGAGAAGCUUGCUUCUCUGAUGUUAGCGGCGGACGGGUGAGGAACACGUGGAUAACCUACCUAUAAGACUGGGAGAACUUCGGGAAACCGGAGCUAAUACCGGAUAAUAUUUUGAACCGCAAGGUUCAAAAGUGAAAGACGGUCUUGCUGUCACUUAUAGAUGGAUCCGCGCUGCAUUAGCUAGUUGGUAAGGUAACGGCUUACCAAGGCAACGAUGCAUAGCCGACCUGAGAGGGUGAUCGGCCACACUGGAACUGAGACACGGUCCAGACUCCUACGGGAGGCAGCAGUAGGGAAUCUUCCGCAAUGGGCGAAAGCCUGACGGAGCAACGCCGCGUGAGUGAUGAAGGUCUUCGGAUCGUAAAACUCUGUUAUUAGGGAAGAACAUAUGUGUAAGUAACUGUGCACAUCUUGACGUUACCUAAUCAGAAAGCCACGGCUAACUACGUG